rnacentral:rRNA from 1 species
GGUAAGAGUAACUGUUUACCCAGUGACGGUAUUUAACCAGAAAGCCACGGCUAACUACGUGCCAGCAGCCGCGGUAAUACGUAGGUGGCAAGCGUUAUCCGGAUUUAUUGGGCGUAAAGCGAGCGCAGGCGGUCUUUUAAGUCUAAUGUGAAAGCCUUCGGCUCAACCGAAGAAGUGCAUUGGAAACUGGGAGACUUGAGUGCAGAAGAGGACAGUGGAACUCCAUGUGUAGCGGUGAAAUGCGUAGAUAUAUGGAAGAACACCAGUGGCGAAGGCGGCUGUCUGGUCUGCAACUGACGCUGAGGCUCGAAAGCAUGGGUAGCGAACAGGAUUAGAUACCCUGGUAGUCCAUGCCGUAAACGAUGAUUACUAAGUGUUGGAGGGUUUCCGCCCUUCAGUGCUGCAGCUAACGCAUUAAGUAAUCCGCCUGGGGAGUACGACCGCAAGGUUGAAACUCAAAAGAAUUGACGGGGGCCCGCACAAGCGGUGGAGCAUGUGGUUUAAUUCGAAGCUACGCGAAGAACCUUACCAGGUCUUGACAUCUUCUGACAGUCUAAGAGAUUAGAGGUUCCCUUCGGGGACAGAAUGACAGGUGGUGCAUGGUUGUCGUCAGCUCGUGUCGUGAGAUGUUGGGUUAAGUCCCGCAACGAGCGCAACCCUUAUUACUAGUUGCCAGCAUUAAGUUGGGCACUCUAGUGAGACUGCCGGUGACAAACCGGAGGAAGGUGGGGACGACGUCAAAUCAUCAUGCCCCUUAUGACCUGGGCUACACACGUGCUACAAUGGAUGGUACAACGAGUCGCGAGACCGCGAGGUUAAGCUAAUCUCUUAAAACCAUUCUCAGUUCGGACUGUAGGCUGCAACUCGCCUACACGAAGUCGGAAUCGCUAGUAAUCGCGGAUCAGCAUGCCGCGGUGAAUACGUUCCCGGGCCUUGUACACACCGCCCGUCACACCAUGAGAGUUUGUAACACCCAAAGCCGGUGGGGUAACCUUUUAGGAGCUAGCCGUCCUAAGGGGACAAU